GUGCGCCCGGCCGGCGUGGCUGGCUGUUUGAGGACUGCGCGCGGAGCUCCGUGGCGGGUGUCUGAAGUCGUGAGUUUACUGCUUGUAAGGAACAUAGCGAUCACUGGGAACCUGGAAGUAGAGACUCCUUUCUGCCAUCCAUCCGUCCCUCGGGCUGCUGCGAAUCCCCCCGCCGGCCUCCAGGACCCCGGGCUGACUGAACGCCCGCACCGGUCCCGCCGCCCCAGGGCCCGCUACGCGCCCGGCAUAAUGGGAGAAAAAUCACGACGGAAAGGCCCAGCCCCUCGCCAUGCAGACGGGAAGCUUGGCCGCACGUGUGAUCACCCUUACGCCCCUUGGAGUUUCACCCCCUCUUCGCGGGCUCCAACAGCCUGGGUCAGGCCUCCUUGUCCUGUGUGGGCCUCUCGGCUGCAAGAACACAGUCCCGAGCCCCGGCGAGCCCGCGCGCCUCCCACCCGCCGUGCACAGGCUGCACUUUACGCCCCAGCACUGCGCCUGCGGGACCAUCUGGAUCGCUUUUCCAUUCUGAUGACGUCCUGUACUUCGUGGCUGCAGGCUCCUCAAGCCCCAGGUCUGUGCAGAGACGAGCAAAGCAGCAGAAUAUCCGUGCCACAGCUUUCUGGAGCACCCAUUUUACUACCAGAUUUGGAAGGAACGAAGUUAAGUAAUUUCCAAGAAUCAUCUCCCCUGCCCCACAAACAUGAAAGAAAAGACAAGAGAAGCACCCCAGAAGAGGAGGGGAGAAGUGCCCCAGAAAAAAUCAUCCAGUCUCUGAAGCUUUGCCCAGGAGCCAGCUGAGGAGGUGUGUCAUGCAACUUGCCCCCCCAGCCCUCCCCUUCUAAGGAACCCCCACACCUGCUCUGUCUUCCUGCUACAGUCUCUGAGAAAAGCCCUUUCAUCUGUCAAGAACUACAAAAGUCAUUCUUUAAGCAGUGCUAAAUAAACAAUGAAACAGACACAAAGUUAAAGUUACCUGAUCCAAAAAGGAGUGAAGCCUAGACCCCAGCCCACUGACUCAGUCUCUAAGACCCCUCACUCAAAUCUUCAAUCAACAGUGGAGAUGGCUGUGAGCUCUUCUGAUUCCAGAUGACAAUACUCCUCCCUUUAAUUCCUUGAUAUGUUUAAUUAUCCUGUGAGCAGAACCAGAAGGGACACUCUCACAGCCUGUUCGCCACGGAAUCCAGGAGGCAGGUCCAUUUUGGUGGCUGUCUCCACAACAUGGCUUUUUCCCCUUGAAGACCAUCAGAAGAGCCUGUAUCUCCGCAUCUGCGGAAAUCGUCUUUGCCAUGUAAUGUGCCAUAACCAUGGGAGUGACAUCGCAUCACAUCCCAGGGCCACCGCUGAGGAGGAGGGUGAGGAUCUUGACCCUUAUCUUAGAAUUCUGCCCUGCCUGGCUUCCACUUGUCCUCUUCUAAAUCUAUCUUAACUCAUUCCUUUGGUGCCUGUUUUUACUGCCUUAAUUUUGGCAAUAAAGGGAGGAAUAAAAACA
rnacentral:lncRNA from 1 species